GAGAAGUGAAAUAUCAGUUGGGAACGACCUGUGCUGAAAUCGGAGCGAAAACAGAAGAUUUAGAAUUUUCUGUUGGAAACGGGACUGAUAAAUUAGCAGAAAAUGUACAGUCUCAGAAAAUUAUGAAAAUUGGCGGGGAUGUCAGAAAUAUUUUUAUGAGGCUAGAUUUAAAGUUUCAUAUUUUUCUGACACCCGUAGAGUGAGAAAUAAAAUCCGAAAGCUAUCUGAUAAAGAUUGCAGUUCGGCACAGUUUUCGGUGACCAAACGAAGUCGAAACUGAAAACUUAAUAUAUAUUCUUGUUCAGUACGUUAAACCGAACAUGACUGUCAAAUUUGAGCUCAAACGGAUAUUCAGAGAGCUCCGGCGAAAGAUAUCAGAUUUGGAGCUGCCUGAUGUGAAUAGUGUAUGCUACUAUUGAGGUGUUGACUAUAAGUAGAAGCUACUAGGCUUCUUCCUCCUCAAGCUGCAGCCAGCACCAAGCAUCACACGCACAUGGUGAAGGAGAGAGAAACCCUCUCUUUCUCUCUCUAAAUAUCUCUCUCAUCUCUCUAUAUUUCUCGCCCAAAUUCGCGGCGUUGGUGGAGAUCGAGCUUGCGAACGCGUUGGAGGCGACGGAUUGAGCUUUCGUGCGCCCGUUGGAGCGGCGUGUUUUCGUUGCGGCGUUCACGUUGGGGUAAGCUUUUGGGAUUUGGCUUAAUCCUUAGCAUUAAGUGUUCUAUUAGCCUCUAAUGAGCUUUGUUGGCAUGUUGAUCCAUUUAAUUUGGAUUAUUUGGAGGUUAAUUGUACGUUAGGGCUCCGAAUGGGGUUUUGUAAAAUAUAAGGGUUUGAUCUCAUUUGACCUUUCGUAAACCUAAUUGCUAGGUAACGAAACGCGUUGGCGAAGACGGUUCGGUAAUCCGACGAGCCGUUACAAAGUUAUUAAAGAAAUAGACGUUUAGGCUUCGGGUCCGCCGGGAGGGCCGAGGCGACGUCGUAAAAUCAUGGAAAUGGAUUUGAGGCAUCGUGGCACAUAACCGAAGACCUAUAAUUUUCGGGGCUGCGAAGCGGAGCACGGUUGAGGCGCAGUUGCAGUAUCGGGCCGUGCCGGGUGCCGAGUGCCGCGGGAGGCCGAUUGCAAGUGUCGACAAGCAAUCGGAACGCGAGUUAAGGUGGGUUGUGCUUACCGAAGCGACUAGGUCGCCCUUUAUGUCUUAGCAAUGUAAUCUCAUGUUGAUGCAUGUGCAUGUAGACAAGAGCAAGGAUGCAUGUUAAUAAAGAUGCAUAAAGUAGAUGCUAAGUAGAAAGCAUGAUAAAUGGUAAUGCUUAGAGCAAAUGCAUAUUAAUAACAAUGCAUAGUGGAGCAUAAUGAUUAUGGCAUUAGAUAAUGCUAGCUAAUGUAAAGUAAUGCAUGAUAAUGAUAAUGCAUAGAUGAAAAUGCUUAGUAGAAAUGCAUGGUGAGCAAGUUACACAAUGCUAAUAAUGCAUGAUAAUAAUGUAAUGCUAAGUAAUGCAUGAUAUGAAGUAAAUGCAUAUUAAUAAUAAUGCAUGAUGAGGAUGCUAAGUAAGGGAUGCAUGUUAGUAAUGAUGCAAAGAGUAAUUGCUAAGUAGAAAGCAUGAUGCAUGGUAUAUGUAUAUAAACCAGAUGAUAACUCUAGGAUGAGUAGAGAUGACUGGACAACUAAGUUGUCAGGUAGAUCGAGUGGCAUCUAACCUAGUGUUAAAGAACAUAGGUUGGUUAGUAAACCUAGAGUUGAACAAUCUAGGUGUGUGGCAUCUAACCUAGUGUUAGUAAACCUAGGUUGAACUAGUAAACCUAGAAGUGGAUAUCUAGGCAAAGAUGAUAAGAACCUAGCAAGUGUAUCUAGGUUAAGUGAUGUGGACAUAGAACCUAGAGUGUUGGAACCUAGGUUGAUGAGUAUAGUGGUAUAGCCACUAGAUUGAGCUAGGUCGACAGUAUAGGGUUGGCUAUGAACCCUCGACCUGUGGUAAGUGGAUUCCGGAAUCCCAGGACUUAUGAUGUCCCUGGUACAGGCUAGGGCGUUCGUGCGACGAUUUCGCCGCCGAGCUUGGUACCGUGGGUAGAUUGGGGGCGAUCACAUGGAGAUCACCGCCCGGGGCUUGAACCAUUGUGCUGGCGUUUGUGCGACGAUUUCGCCGCCAGAGUGGUUAAGCCAUUUGAGGAUCAGACCGCCAGAGUAGACUGAAUCCAUGCUGGGUAAGUACGAUGCGGGUGCCUCCAGGUGACUGAGUCUGACAUGAUCGUUGUUGGGUGUGGUGCGACCCGUUCGCCGCCAGACGGUAUGUCAUGUCUCGAGCUCACGCUGGGUAUGUGCAACGCGAUCGCCACCGAUGGUCAAGUCUUGUGACUCGAGCCGUAUUCAGCGUGUGCGACGAUUUCGCCGCUAGGAGGCUGAGUCAGAGAGAGUGCGGUAGGCUGUUGAGCAGCCAGUGCGCGGACUAUCCGCAGAUGAUUGACUCGAAGCCGAGUCGGGUGGUUAGCUAUGAUAGGGUAGAGGAACCCUUAUGAGCCAGAGAUAGAGGCUUGAGCUAAGGUAAUAGAAACCUUAGAAGCCAGUGGUUGGUGUUGUGAUCCUAAGGUAAUAGAAACCUUAGAGUAAAGUUAUGAGCUAAAGUAGCCAAGUAAAAGUAGAAUUCAUAUGAUCUACUAGUUGUUGCAUGGUUUUCAUAUCGCAUAUCGUGAGGCAUGGCAUGUAUUUCAAUUGAAUAUAUAUAUCUGUUGUAUAUUGUUGAACUAACAUGUUGCAGUGCCUCCUCGGACCUAUCGGUCGAGCUUUUCCCUUGGGUGGCCGUACCCACUGGGAACCAUGGAGUUGGUUCUCACCCCACGUUGUUUCGGGGUGUUUUCAGGUUGUACAUGUGCGGCGCGACGGCGCGAGGCGAGGGCGUAGCUCAGUAGAUAGCGCCCUGCCACAGAGACCGAGGUAGAAGUACCCUGAGGCAGUCUAGCUUAGGGGACUAGAAGACAAGGAAAAAUAAAAUGUAUUAAACUCGUAAACCCUAAUGUGAUGAGAUUGUAAUCUGGAAGUAAAAAUGCAAAUAAAAACUGUGAUGUAAAAGUGAAUGAAUGCUUGUAAUAGCUAGUAGUUUAUGUAUUUGAUACUUCCUUAUGCAAUCUUGAUUGAUAUCCGUUCCUGGUUGGAACAUCUCUAUAUUGUUUGGAUUGCGACGCCUAGAAUGUACUGGGGAGACUCUGUCCGCGUACAGGGGAAACCCCGGCCCGUCCGGCGGUCUGUUAGCGGCGCCGCGACUCGGUCCAAAUUGGCGGUUGGUCGCGGGGCGUGACAAUUCAAGUGGUAUUAGCUUUUGGCUUAAGGUGAUUGUGUUGGCGGCCGACAACACGAUGCCGAAAGUCAGGAACGAGUACACUUACAAGCUACCGCCUNAUUCAAGUGGUAUUAGCUUUUGGCUUAAGGUGAUUGUGUUGGCGGCCGACAACACGAUGCCGAAAGUCAGGAACGAGUACACUUACAAGCUACCGCCUGAUUGAUGCUAUUUAAACGCUUAUAUUUCGCAAAUUGCGACGACGACGUUGUUGGUUAAGUAACAAACCAACUGUUUGCGUUUCAGGGCCAAUGGCACCAAGGGGACGCCCUAGGACGAGAUACGCUCCGGCACCGCCUCCUGAGGUGCCCGAGCAGGCCGAGCCGAGCGUGAUCGAUCGGCUGCAGGCGCAGGUGAUGGCGUUGACCGAUGUUAUAAUAUACCAGAUUUUGGUAUAAAAAUAAAAGUAAACAAAAAUAUUGUGAGAUACUAUUUUUAUUGGUUUUUGAGAAACAAAGUAUAAGUCUAUAAUGACUUGUGCUGAAAUCGGAAUGAAAACAGAAGAUUUAUAAUUUUCUGUUGAAAACGGGGUGGAUAAAUUAGCAGAAAAUGCACAGUGUCAGAAAAUUAUGAAAAUUUGACGGAUCAGUCAGAAUUAUUUUUAUGAGGCUAGAUUUAAAGUUUCAUACCAUUCCGACAUCCGUAGAGAGAGAAAUAAAAUCCGAAAGCUAUCUGAUAAAGAUUACAAUUCGGUACAGUUUUCAGUGACCAAACGGAGUCGAAACUAAAAUAUUAAAAUUUUUUUGGACUCAGUACGUAAAACCGAGCCUGCCUGUCAAGUUUGAGCUCAAACGGACAUUCAGAAGGGCUCCGGCGAAAAAAAUGUCAGUUUUAAGCCUCCCUGGAGUGAAUAGUGUUCUUGGAAGCUUCUUAUGAAACUUGGAGAGCAAGUUUCCUCUCUAUGUAUAUAUAGGACUUGGGCUUUCUUUCCUCUCAUUAUUCACACUCACAACCAAAAAAAAAAAUCUCUCUCUACACCAAAGAGAGGAUUGGAGAAGAAAAGAAAGAAAAAUUGAAGCAAGCUUGGAGAAGAUUAGAGUAGCUUGAAGUUGAAGCUCUCUCUAAUGGUGGAGGCAAGCUUUCCAAUGGUGGAUUUAGCUUGAUGUGAAUGGUGGUCUAAGGUGAGAUCUCAUAAUUUAAGCUAGGAUUUGGUUUAAUCCUUAAUGCUUAGUGUUCCAAUAGCCUCUAAUGUGUUGAUUAGCAUGUUAAAUCCAUUUAAUUUGGGUUAAUUGGAGCAUGUGUAGAGGCUAGGUUUAUAAUGAUAGAUCUUUAGAGCUUUAAUUAUAUGCUCUAAGAUUGGAUUUAGAGGAAUCCUUAGAUGCUAAAUGGAUGACUAUUGCAUGAAUUAAGGGAUUAUAUGAUGAAUUCUUGCAAUAGUGUAUCUUAGGGCUCGAAAAUUGAGUUUUGUAAAAUAGUAGGGUUUGAUAUCAUUUGUCCUAAUUGCUAGGUAAACGAACGCGUUGGCGAAGUCGGUUCGGCGAUUCGUCGAGCCGUUACGAAGUUAUUAAAGAAACGGACGUUUAGGCUUCGGGUCCGCCGGGAGGGCCGAGGCGACGACAUAAAAUCGUGGAAAUGGAUUUGAGGCACCGUGGUAGCGUGGCGAAGAGCUUCUGCACUUGAAACGGCGAAGCGGCGAGCUCUUGGAGUGCGAUCAUGAGAUCAGGCCCAAACGGAUGCCGAGUGCCGCGGGAGGCCGAUUGCAAGUGACGACAAGUAAUCGGAGAGCCAUUUAAGGUGGGUUGUGUUUACCGAAGCGACUAGGUCGCCUCUAUGUCUAAGAGUAAAGGUUUCAUAUUGAUGCAUGUAGUGGUAGCCAAUGAUAGAAUGUAUAAAUGCAUGGAAAGAAUACUAUAUGGGCUACCAAAUAAUGCAUGUGGUCAUAAUGUGAGAAUGCUAAGUAAUGCUUAAUGAUGUAGUGUAAAUGAUGCUAAGUGGAAAGCAUAAAGUAG
rnacentral:lncRNA from 1 species